AAAUUGAAGAGUUUGAUCAUGGCUCAGAUUGAACGCUGGCGGCAGGCCUAACACAUGCAAGUCGAACGGUAACAGGAAACAGCUUGCUGUUUCGCUGACGAGUGGCGGACGGGUGAGUAAUGUCUGGGAAACUGCCUGAUGGAGGGGGAUAACUACUGGAAACGGUAGCUAAUACCGCAUAACGUCGCAAGACCAAAGAGGGGGACCCUCGGGCCUCUUGCCAUCGGAUGUGCCCAGAUGGGAUUAGCUUGUUGGUGGGGUAACGGCUCACC
rnacentral:rRNA from 4 species